AGAUAGAGCAGGUGUUGCGUGACUUGUCCCUUAUUGCGACUGACCUCGAUAAGUUGCUCUCGAAUAAUGUUAACCUUAUGCCAGUAUGGGAUUGACGCCAUUUAACAACAGUUGUUGUUGAGAAUUCCUGGGUUUGAGGUGGCAACUUUGGCGUCGGGACUCGCUCCAUCUCUGUCUAUGGCCCAGUCAAAGCAGCAGCAGCAGCAAUAAGAACAACAAGUAGUAUCUGAGCGGUGCUCUGGUGUACGGGGCUUCAUAGCCUGUUCCUCCUGGUCCAGGACCUUUGGACAAAUGUUCAAAUAGUACUACCCACAGGAUGAAGCCACUCUGAAUCCGGGGCUCCAUACUUUCUUGGCCAGGGGCCAAGACUACCUCGUCAAUAAGCAGAGCACCAGCAUUGAUAUCGAGUUGGCCCAGCAACCGCACCAGUCCCGCCUGCAGGAGCCACAGUCCAGAACAACCCUUCCCCUCCCUUGACUUCUAGCUCCUCUCCCUUGACCGCCUGCCUCAAAAAGUCAGCAUCAUUGAACAACUCCGUUCUGCAGCAAAUUCUGAGCAUGAUUCUGUUCUGAACAAACGCAAUGCCCACGUCACGUUUUCCAAACAUAAGCCUGGGUAGUUUUGUUAAGCUAGAGUUCCGCGUGGGCCUGAAAGGGACAAUUGUUACAGACACAAACAGUUAUAGCAGUAGUUAUGGUAACGCUAACAGUCAGUUGUUGCUGUUGGACAUCACAACAAAUAUCAUGAAGAAUAAAAAUUUCAAUAAGUUGUUCCAAUCUUUAUGGGACAAACAGAAAUUGAACGGAAGAAAAUCAAGGAACAAUAAAAGCGUAAGCUUUCCAAGUUGGAUACAUCUGCUGUUGAUAGUUUGAACAACAGUAGGGUUACGGACUGCCCCAGAUUGUCCUCUCAGCGCCCUGGAUAUCAUAAUAGAACGGACUUUUGGCCAUAUUUCUGACAAAGAAAGGCAAUAAUGACUUGGUUGUGAAUACCCAGAGCACGAUAUAUCCAUGCUGACACAGAAAGGCAGUAAUGACUAUGCUGUGAACACCCAGAGCAAGAUAUAUCCAUGCUGACACAGAAAGGCAGUAAUGACUUGGCUGUGAGCACAAAACACCGUACAUCCAUGCUGAUACAGAAAGGCAGUAAUGACUUGGCUGUGAACACAGAGCACAAUACAUCCAUGCUGACACAGAAAGGCAGUUAUGACUUGGUUGUAAACACAGAGCACAAUACAUCCUUGUUGACACAGAAAGGCAGUAAUGACUUGGCUGUGAACACAGAGCACAAUACAUCCAUGCUGACACAGAAUGGCAGUUAUGACUUGGUUGUGAACACAGAGCACAAUACAUCCUGGUUGACACAGAAAGGCAGUAAUGGCUUUGCUGUAAACUCAGAGCACGAUACAUCCAUGCUGACACAGAAAGGAAGUAAUGACUAUGCUGUGAACACCCAGAGCACAAUAUAUCCAUGCUGGCACAGAAAGGCAGUAAUGACUUGGAUGUAAACACCCAAAGUACAAUACAUCCAUGCUGACACAGAAAGGCAGUAAUGACUUGGAUGUAAACACCCAGAGCACAAUACAUCCAUGCUGACACAGAAAGGCAGUAAAGACUUGGUUCCUAUCAAUAUCUCCUCCCAUAUUGGGUACAUCAAUACUUCCAACAGCAGAGCUUUGGUGAGUUCGACUUCCGUCUCAGCAUUGAUGUCGCUUAGCAACAAUUGGAUGAUUGGCGUCGACAAAUUAGGCCGGAUAAGUCGCUCGAACUGAAACGAUCUGAUCCAACAGGUAGAGCAGGCGUUGCGUGACACGUCCGUUAAUGUGACUGACCUUGAUAUGUUGUUCUCGAAUAAUGUGAACCUUAGUACUGGAGAGCAGUAUGCAUUUGACGCCAUUCAACAACAGAUAUUGUCGGCAGUUCUCGGGUUUGGGGUGGCAACUUCGGCGUCGGGACUCGCUCCAUCUCUGUCUAUGGCCAAGUCGCAGCAGCAGCAGCAACAAGAACAAUAAAGCCGGUUCCUACAGGAUCCCAUGCAGUCAUAGAUCGGUACCCAGCUGAACAACAGGCUGUCUGGUAAGCUGGGCCCGGAUAGGUGCAGCCAGUCUAAAGCUGGGGCUCCAAACUUUCCUGCCAAGUGGGCUGAUAUUACCUCUUCUACAAGGGCCAUAUGUCAGUGAUGCGCAAAGAGCUGGUGUUCUGUUCACAGAGAAAAAUCCUAACAACUCCAACUCAGCCACUACAUCUCAAUAGACAUCCUGAAUAUCAAGGCGUUAAGUUUCUUCUGGAUGCAGUUACAGUCACAGCUUUCAAGCCAGCAGCUGUCGAUGUAUUAAGAUUCUCUCCUCUCCAUGUUACCUGACCUGCUGCCUGUGAACAUCCUGCACAUAGAACCUUUAUCCCAAUCGAUGUAAUUAAACCGGCCAAUCAAAAAGAUAGCCUGGUACAGCACUUGUCAUUAGAUUGACGCCAUGCAUGCCUUUGAAGAUCAUUUAUACAUACAAUUUAAGCAUGAUAGUCAAUAAGUGCCUGCGUUGGCUUCUUAAACUACUCACAGUCCUGAGAACGGUUCAUAAUUGUGAUGCUUCUAUUUUGAUAUGUCUGUCAUUCUGUCUGUGUACAUAUUUCUCAUCCGUUUGCUCUUUUGAGGCAGUAUUUAGUUGAGAAUUUCAUGUAGUGAUGUAAUACUAAAAUAUCAAAUAAUAAUUUUAUUUAUUCAAACUAUAUUUACCUUCUGUUAAUUAUUGAUUUAUUUAUUGACAACAGACACUUUGUUUAAUAUUAACAACAGUUAAGCGCGUUAUAAAAAUUGUGUGAAUGUACAUGUGAAUUGCGAUAAUUAAUGCACACAUUAAUUGAAAAACUAUUUAAAUAAAGUGGAAUUUAGAAGUGCAUCAUAAUUGUAAUGGAGUUUAUUUAAUUAUUAAAAAAGGAUGCUUUCAUUGUUGAAAAUAUGAUAGUAAUUCAUCCACAAUUAAUUUUGUUUCAAAGUGAGUAUUUUCAUGAAUAAUGUUCCUAGAUAUGGUUGUAGAUUGUUCUUGUUGUAUCAUAUACUGACAUGCUCAUUAUUUAUGUUGACAUUUGCAUUCUAGCA